CAGAGGAUUUGAUCUGCUUGGAGGCUUCCCGUUGGCGAGUGGGCCUGGAAGGUUUGAUGAAAACUCGUGAAAGGCUGUGAAAGAAGAGGAGAUCAAAUCAGCAGCUCCACCGGCUCUCGAAGAACAUGUGUUGGCUGAGCCCAAAGCGGCCGCUGAGGACAAGCAGCUGAGCGGCGGAGUGGGAGCUGGAGAUCCUGACAUUUCAUAUGUGAUUGCAAAGAUUUACGUCAGGCGAGCGCAGAAGUCUCCAUCAACUGUGGCGGACCCGAGGGACGAUGGAGCAAUCACAUUAUAUCUGCUGUCACACAAAGUCACUGUCAAGGUGUGCUGCUGGUGGAGGAGAGGAGCAGCGCAUGUGACGGCGGAGACUCGGAAAUACCUCAGCUUCAUCUCGCCCCCGCUGUCCCCCCACCCGCACCCGGUUACAAGUCUAGCAAAGGUGACGUUGACCGAACCUGAGGCUCCUGCUGUUUGGGUUCUGCACCGACCAACUGGGAAAAGAUCUGAAGUGGACCACUUCACCCGGAGCCAUUGCCAUGGAGGAUUUUGCUCCGAUGACCGGGCCAGGUCCUGUGGCAGAACCACCAAAGGCCUGCGGCGCCUUUUAUCUUCAUACGAGUCCAUUUAAAGACUCGUAUGCCAUCUUAAUGAACAUUGUACGGCAUCUUGUCAUCGUAAUGAACAUUGUACAGCACCAGACUACGUGAUAAAUGUUGCCCACUCGAUAGCCUUUGCAGCCUGGUCAUCCUGGAAAGGGAAUCCCCCCCAUCUGCGGUCCCUUUUCGUUUAAUUUUUUCCCCAAAUGGGGCUUUGAGUUUUUCCUUGCCCAAUUGGGGGGUUUAGAUUAGGGGAUGUCGUCAAUCAUUGCCAACUG